GCUUUUCCUAGAUUAUUUUAAAUGUACUACCUCCAUCUAAUAGAAGAUCUAGCAUCUCCAGGAAUUCUUCCAUUGCAAAUUUUCAGCAAUGCAACCAUCUCUAUAAGAUAAAGUCUGAAUUCAACAUGUAGAAAGCACAUAUUACAAAAGCAGGUCUCUGGGGAUGGGGAAAGAUUUUGCAAUGUACAUUACAGCCUGUGAGGAUGGAAACCACUCACCCUGCAUGUUGCACUCUUGGGUGAUUUUGCAAUGAGCAGUCAUUUGUGUUUCCCAGAGGUGUUUUUGAAGAGUUUGUAUCCUGAUAAGUAUUCAGGUGGCACAUUCCUGAAGAUGUCUCAAACACUUCACUGAAUGACAUUCAACGGACAACACAUGCUAAUGGAAGACUGGAAAAAUUCUGAGAUGCCAUUAGUUAAAUGACUGAAAUUAACAUGUACAAAAUCAAAUUCAUGACUAUGAACCCAGAUUAAGAAAGGACAGCAAACUAAAAGUACUUUAGUGGCAUAGAUGUGUAUCACUGUGUAUCAGUGGUGAGAGGGGAAAAAAGGCAUUUCCAUGUUUCACAGCCGUGUUUCAGAUGCUGCAGCGCCCAUAAUGCUGACAAUACAGUACUUGCUGUUGUAACACAACGAGGUGAAAGGUACAGCUUGCUACGAUGAACUGAGUACUUUCUGAAGGCCUUUAACCUAAGCAACGGGAAAUUGCACUUUUUCUGCCAGAUGCCUUAAGUCUAGAAUUGCCUGAAACAGUUCUCUCUCCAGUCUUUUUCCAAAUUCACCAGGUGAACUUCAGGUGAACUCCUCCAGAAACACGAAUCCCAGUACUACCAACCUAAAAACAGUGGUUAACUUCAUCUCAGCUUUACUUCAUGUGACCAUAUAUCAUCAAUUCCCAGGCAGUCCAAUGUUUGAAUGUGACUCAUUAACAACAAGCAAAGCUUAGAGAGCUUCAGUGGAACAAUGGUA